rnacentral:lncRNA from 10 species
GAUGGAGUGAGAUCCACCUGCGCCACCAAGAAAUGAUCCAUAGAACAAAUCAUUACAUAAGAAAAUAAAAAUCACAGACGAUUGCUCUCUAUGGACACAUUUACACAAAUCCAAGCUCAGUUUUAGGUGAAGUGUGGAUGAAGAGGUGAAGAAAGGAGGUGAUUCAAAGAAAGUCUCCACAAACCCGAGAUUGUAAAAUGUCUCAUUAUGAGGUCUGGUGGAAAUGGAUUUGAAAAGCCUAAUUUCCAAGUUAAAAGAGGAAAAGAGAAUUCUAAAAGUAUUCAAGCAAUAAAAGUCAGCUGAUAUUUAUUAUCUACUAUAGCCAAGGCAUGGAGUUGGGGUUUUAUUUGCCUACUUUCAGUGAGAAAGAUGAGCUAAAUCGUUUUUAUGGAAAAUAAAAAGGAAACAUUUAAAGUAACAACAACCAAAAGUAUCCACCAAUAGUCUCUGCAUCACUUGGGAAGCCGCUAGGGAGUGUGGGACACACGCUCAGCUAAACGGCAACAGAGAAUCAAGCAACUGCUGGCUUUAGUGCCCUGCUACUCCUAAAUAUGCUUCAAUGUUUGCCUCUUUCACUGGUUAAAAGGGAAUCUCAGACCGAGCACUUUCAUUUCCUUCUCACCAUGCAGGAAAUGAGUAGACGUGACACUCCUGUUUUGGUAAGAAUUGACACACAGCUACCCUCAUCUGGUGAACGGACGAAUUGGGGCUAAAGCUGAAUGGCUGACAUGUCAACAACCUGAAAUAAAAACAAACCAGCCUUGUUUAAGAGUGAAUUUGCUUUGUGCAAAUUGUCAAAAAGAAAACACGGAAAAACCGUCUCCUGCAAAGAGGAAGAAAAGGGUUACGUUGUUGACAAAAUCUGGGUUUCCUUGCAAAUAAUGGUCUGUUGCUUGUAUGCCAUCGUCACAUUUUGGAUGGCAGAUUGUUU